rnacentral:rRNA from 1 species
AUGAACGCUGGCGGCGUGCCUAAUACAUGCAAGUCGAGCGAACAGACGAGGAGCUUGCUCCUCUGACGUUAGCGGCGGACGGGUGAGUAACACGUGGAUAACCUACCUAUAAGACUGGGAUAACUUCGGGAAACCGGAGCUAAUCCCGGAUAAUAUAUUGAACCGCAUGGUUCAAUAGUGAAAGACGGUUUUGCUGUCACUUAUAGAUGGAUCCGCGCCGCAUUAGCUAGUUGGUAAGGUACCGGCUUACCAAGGCGACGACGCGUAGCCGACCUGAGCGGGUGAUCGGCCACACGGGAACUGAGACACGGUCCAGACUCCUACGGGAGGCAGCAGUAGGGAAUCUUCCGCAAUGGUCGAAAGCUUGACGGAGCAACGCCGCGUGAGUGAUGAGGGUCUUCGGAUCGUAAAACUCUGUUAUUAGGGAAGAACAAAUGUGUAAGUAACUAUGCACGUCUUGACGGUACCGAAUCAGAAAGCCACGGCUAACUACGUG